CCUACGGGAGGCAGCAGUGAGGAAUAUUGGUCAAUGGGCUUACGCCUGAACCAGCCAAGUCGCGUGAGGGAAGACUGCCCUAUGGGUUGUAAACCUCUUUUGUCAGGGAGCAACGCCGGCUACGUGUAGCCGGACUGAGAGUACCUGAAGAAAAAGCAUCGGCUAACUCCGUGCCAGCAGCCGCGGUAAUACGGAGGAUGCGAGGGUUAUCCGGAUUGAUUGGGUUAAAAGGGUGCGUAGGCGGAAUGCCAAGUCAGCGGUAAAAUCGCGGGGCUCAACCUCGCUCCGCCUUUGAAACUGGCGUUCUUGAGUGGGCGAGAAGUAUGCGGAAUGCGUGGUGUAGCGGUGAAAUGCAUAGAUAUCACGCAGAACUCCGAUUGCGAAGGCAGCAUACCGGCGCCCAACUGACGCUGAAGCACGAAAGCGUGGGUAUCGAACAGGAUUAGAUACCCCAGUAGUC
rnacentral:rRNA from 1 species